AUUGAACGCUGGCGGAAUGCUUUACACAUGCAAGUCGAACGGCAGCACGGACUUCGGUCUGGUGGCGAGUGGCGAACGGGUGAGUAAUACAUCGGAACGUGCCCAAUAGUGGGGGAUAAAGUAGCGAAAGCUACGCUAAUAACGCAUACGAUGUAAGGAUGCAAGCGGGGGAUCGCAAGACACCGCGCGAUUGGAGCGGCCGAUGGCAGAUUAGGUAGUUGGUAGGGUAAAGGCCUACCAAGCCGACGGUCUGUAGCUGGUCUGAGAGGAUGAUCAGCCACACUGGUGCUGAGACACGGCCCAGACUCCGACAGGAGGCAGCAGUGGUGAAUUUUUGACAAUGGACGCAAGUCUGAUCCAGCCAUUCCGCGUGCAGGAUGAAGGCCCUCGGGUUGUAAACUGCUUUUGUACAGAACGAAAAGGCUCUGGUUAAUACCUAGGGCUCAUGACGGUACUGUAAGAAUAAGCACCGGCUAACUACGUGCCAGCAGCCGCAGUAA
rnacentral:rRNA from 1 species